CUGGACGAACCCUCGAUCCUCCGGGUCUCUGUCCCACAUAGAAGACGAGCACUCUUCAUAGAAGUGGUGUAAAUAGGAACGAACUCCAAACUGAAGGCAGCUAGAACCUCGCUGGAACAUUGUUGUGAGACUCAUCAUAAAUCUUGGCCAGUGUCGUCGGGUUGCCCCAGUUAUUGUUGCUGCAUGUGAACGAUUGACGGCUACCGUGGCCCUGAGGUGACUCUAUCACCACCCACGGAUGAGUCACACAUAUGCAACACUGUCUGCAGCACAUGUAGCAGAGUGUGAAUCACAGCUGAGCAGACGGCGGUGCGGAGUCAAGCUGUGUCGUCAUGACUGUGCCUGGAGGGGAGGCUGUCCACGACAUAAGGCUGCUGCAGAGCUGACUGGUUCAGGAGUCCAUCUCAGCGGGCUUCUUCGCCUCCCCGUCUUCCCUCAAGUCAUUACAGCGGCAGCAGAUAGCAGACAGAGGGGAUGGAUGGGUUUCAUUCCGACGCGGCGCUUCCACUUGUCUGAUCAUUCAAGGUCAUAUCGAGCAGAUCAAUAAGACUACACUGAUGUAUGGGGAAGUGGAUAACGUGUGUGUGUGUGUGUGUGUGUGUGUGUGUGUGUGUCUCUGGGUUGUGGGGGGUUUAAGGCGGGGGUGGCAGACACACACCUGCACGGGGUCAGACACAGUGUGUUAUCUCAGUUCCCCAAUCUGACACUAGAUGUCAGUGGAAUGCAGCUCAGGGCCUUGUGUGUGCUCGAGUUCAUCAGUGCAAGUUCCUUUGUUUCUUUAGUCAUCACUCAGUGCAAUAACAGCAUACAUAUUUAAAUCCAUAUGUGCUUUUUUUUUUUUUUUUUUACAUGCAGCUGCUCUAUGUUGCUAGAAUUUAAGUGCAUCAGUGACUUCCAUGAAGUAAUGGUGAUUUUAAAAAAAAAAGCCAGUUUGCUUGACUAGUCAAAGUCCUGCAUUUUUCUUUCACACACACACAACUCAUGAUAAAUUAGUAAUUUUUAUGAAAUGAUUUAAGAGGUAAGAUUUAAAAGGUCAAAUACACAAGAGAGAUGUACUCUCUUUGAAUGCUGUCACACUGAUAGUGAUUAAAGUUAAAUCUUCAUGUCUAUUGUUGCAAACAUCUUUGUUUUGCUGGUGGCAUGCAACAACUACAUACAUAUUUAAACGUCAUAUAACAUCUUAAAGCAUUAAAUUCCCACCAUGCAGCUGCUUCAAAGAUACCUUGAAUGCAUCAGUGGUUCCAUGAGGCUAAGUGUGUCAGCAGUAUGAAACUUUCAUCUACGAUGGUGUCUGCUGUCACAUUACCAGACAUCAAAGUCUAACAAUAUAGAUCCAGGAGUUUCAGUGUAAUCACAUUACAGCGGGAGAAUAUUACCAUGUUGGGAUAAGGAAUAAUUAUCAUAUCAAUAACACCAUUUAUCAUUGAUCUAAUUAGAUAGCUGACUGCAUGUCAGUUUGUACUGGCACAUAUAAAUUCUAUCCUAUAGUCCCCCCCCACCUUGCUCCCCAAGAAGUCAUUAAUGUAUCCUGGUGUAAUAUUAUCACAUGGCUACAUUCCUCCUCUCUAUCUAAUCUAAUUCAUCAGUCUAAUAGGUCAUAAUUAAUUGCUCCAUUAUUAAUCGAGUGAUGUCAUACCUACACGCCUGGGGGUGAAAUGAACUGUCUGUCACCGGGAACGCUGCCUUCGGUGUCGGGUGUGUGUGUGUGUGUGUGUGUGUGUGUGUGUGUGCUGGAAGUGGCGAUCACAGUUUGAGUUUUUGCCUGAUGCAGCCGCUCAGAGGUGUCAAAAGCUCAACCAUCUACAGAUCAAAUUUAUCACUGUUCACUGUGACCGUGUGAUUACUGCUGAUUACCUCGGGUCAAAAGGUUCAAACAUCAUUGAGGAGGAUAUUACACCGCAGUGGGACAUGAAUAUUUAACUGUCUCAUUCUGGUGAUGCUCUCUCUUUGGCUAACUUGAGCCAGAGGAGAUGAUGAUUAGCCUCACAGACAGGGCUAACGACCUGCGAUGGAUUAGACUGGAUGGCCAUUGAAUAUGCCAAUGACAUGGAGUGGACAGACUCAUUCACAUGAAGAAGAAGUCGGGAGUAGAGACGAGAGGGUUUGGUUUUGGCCAGUGACACCUUGUUUAAAGCACAAACCUUAGGAUUUUAUCAUUGUAAAUCCUGCUCUUGAUACCACUUACAUCAAUAGCCAUCCAGUGUAUUUGCAUUCAGUAAUUACCUCUCUCCGCAGUAAUUUUCAUUGUUUGUGGCAGAGUAUGUAAAUUGAUUUGCUUGAUGACGCAGUACACUUUAACAAUCCACUUGUCCCCUCUUGUACGCUGCUUAGUAACCAUUUGCUAAAUUGUUUAAACGCUACUAUAAUGUAGUUGUAGACAAACAGACAACUGUGCAAAGGUUUAAAGCACUUGAGUUGUUUAAAUUCUUGUCCAUCACGCAAGAUCAUCAGGGGGCCACAGUCAUAAAGACCAGCAGAACAAAGAGUCCUGCAACAGAUGGUGUGGCCCCCACAGAGUCCUGAUCUCAGCACCAUGGACUCAGUCUGGGAUUACAUGAACAGACAGAAGACACUGAGAAGGACUGAAUCCAUAUAAGAAGUGAGACGAGUUCUCCAAGAUGCCUGGAACAACUUACCUGCCAAGAACCCCCAGAAACUGUGUGACAGUGCUGAGGAGAACUGCUGCUGUGCUGAUUUGAUGUGAGGUUUUUCCCACUUACCGUACUUAGUAUCAAGUUUAUAUGAGUAAUACAUUUGUCCAUAGGUGCUGUUUGUUUAACCAUUCAUUAAAUAUCUGUAUAGUGCUUCAUAUAGUUCCACAGUAACUACAGGUUUCUCCUAUUGAUGGCACCCUGACUGUUUACUGUUUAAUCUCCUGCAGUUCACAGCUGCAUUAGGUUACUGCUAAUGCUAUUUCAUACUGCUUCGCAUUAAAAGCAUGGCUUUGAUUGCUCAGCAGUCACCAGAAAUGCAUUUAUAUGUGGCUGUUAUGUCAUGUAUAAUUACUGACUUAUUUCUUCAUCAAAGCACCAUGAGUGUUGCUCUUCUGCUGUGUUUCUGAUGAAGCACAAGGUACAAUCAAGAAAUUCCAAGACUGAGCCUACAAAAAGCUGAACCGUACUCUUUGAAAUUGUCUUCUUGCACAGCAAUAUACUGUUCCCAGUGCUCCUGCCACUUGUGGACUGCUCCCUAAGUCCUGUUUUGUACUCACAUCAAGCACCGUCUGUGUAAAAGAUCUUCUCCACUAUGUCAAAACAGUAACCCCUCAACCUGAAUUACAUUUUCACGCAAAGCAAGAAGUUGCAGCCAAAUAUUUUUAGUGUGGCCAAAGAACUUUUUUUCAAAACACUGUGAGCGGGUGCUUGUUGGCACAAUUCUACGUCCCACAGAAUUUCACAUUUGUUCUCUGUGCAAAUUUGAAGGCCACAGUGAAUUCAGAAAGUGGUCUAAACAGGACUUCCAGGGACCAUUUAAAACAUGGUAGGAGCCUUGGGAGCAAUGUGUCAUUGUACAAGAAGGCCUCAAAGGAUAUAACAACAAAGUUAAAUCCGGCAUUGGUAUUGCUUUUUAUAGGCAUAGUCUUCUUGAUUGCACCCCAUAGCAGCUGAAGGGAUGUUUACUAACUUCUGUGCUACCUACUGUAGUAAUAAACCAACAUGAAAUCAUCCAAAAUUUAAUUCAUAAGGGCUUUAACUUAAAUGUUUGCAUUCCAAAAACUCAUUGACAAAACUCAAUGGGAGCAAUUAGAAGAAACACGAGAGAGAAUCUCCCUCUUAGACAUUUAUUUUGCCUUUUCCGCUUCCCCCAAACUGCUUCAUAUCUCAAAAAUAGUUCUUAAUUCCUUAAAUGAUGAUUCAAUACCAGCAGUGGUUGAGAUCAUAGCGUGCUAUAAAAUUUCAAAGUCUAUUACAGCAACUUCUGGCAAAGCUCUUUGCUGCAAGACUGGAGAGACACACUAACAGUCCAAAACAAAUACACAGAUCUGCAAUCUGUUGGGAGAAGUUUGGACUGAUGUUGGGUGAACAUUAGCCAAGUAAAAACUACCUCAGAGAGAUGUAUAUGGACAUAUUCUUGAACACACACAAACAGAAAUGCAUAUUUUAACCACCUUCCCACUGCUGGCACUGUAUCAUUGUCAACCAUCUGCCCCUUUGUUUCAAGCAGCAUUGUAACCUUUCCCUGUGUGUGUGUGUGUGUGUGUGUGUGUGUGUGUGUGUGUGUGUGUGUGUUUCUGGGAGUCGUGUGCGUGUUAUCACUGGCGCGCAUGCAUGCUUGUAUAUCCAGUGUGUGUUCUGGCUGCCAAACGUCCAUUUGGUUGGGGAGUAUUGCCAAGGUGAGGUGGAGGUCAAUUCUACACAGCUGAAUCAUUGAACAGCACUGAGCUGAGUCGCUUCCAAGGCUGGCAAAGCAGCGCAUAACACAAUGUCAUCAUCUGGGUACAAAAAAUCUCAGUGAGGAUUUUGCUGCUAAAUGUUAUGGGUGAGUAAAGAUUCACAUUAUAUGACACGUUUUAUUUGAUUUAACAUGAAUUUGCUGUAUUUACUUUUGCUUUCCAAACUGUCUGGUUCUCAGUCACAGUUUAAUAUGACUUAAAAAAGAUAUUUCCUCGUCUCUUUCCACACCGAGUUAACGGUCAAGGCUGGGUUUCUUCUCUCUUUCUCUUUUUUCUUUUUUCCUGUGUGGGGCCAAAGAUGCUCAGUCCCCACUGAGCGUUUCUGCUUUCAUCCUUGGAUGUGAUCAAUAAUGAAUGGAACUCCCACAGCCUGACAGGCAGGGAUUGCUUGGAAAAAAACUUGGAAAACCAUCCGCAAUUCUGCCAGCCCCAGAGCAUCGCAUCGGAGACAGGGCCGCGCUUGGCCGCCAAUUAGCACCAACAUUUUACAGCCACUCGCUGGGUGCGACUGUUUGGAGGCACGCUCAAAGACACAAGCACACACACACACACACACACACACACACACACACACACACACACACACACAUACACACACACACACACACACAGAGAGAGAGAAGCACACACUGAGAAACACCUCUGGAGAGCCGCUGACCUACUCCCCUAACCACUUUAUUGAUCUGUGGGCCAAAGAUGUGAAGGCCUAUUGAGGUCAUCAUUAAUGAUUCAUCAUAUCCAGAAAAUGUCAAAUGUGGCUUGGGAGCGUAAACAUGAACGCGUCAGAUGUUAUGGACUCAUAAACAUGGAGGAGCUUUGAAGAAAUCCUCCAUGCAUCUAUAUGAAUCAUACAUGUGAGUAGAGAGGAUACCGAGUAUAGCGAUGGUUAUCAGACAGAGUGAUGCAACCAUUUCAUCACAAUUUGUUCUGUUGCUGUCAUUCACUUUUUGCAGGACUCCCACAGAGAGCUAUAUGUUAUUCUGAAUAAUCAUCCACUUGGCCCUGUCUCUGUCUUCUUGUGUUGGCCUCAAGCUCUGAGCAUAGGAUGGGAAUCAGUGGGACCAGUAUCAGAACAGUACAUGCGUGCAAAAGCUUUGGUUAUUUUAUGCUCUUAGUGCAUGCAGUUGCCCUUUGAUAAAUAUUCUAGCAUAGGCACGCAAACCCAGAGACAUGUACAGUAUAUAUACAAUGCAUUAGCUAUUCCACUGACAUCCACAUGCUAUCCCACAGGGACAGAUCGAAUGUAGCAGUCAUGCACUCUGAGGCAUUCAACUGCAGGGGAUUUUCAGACUUUCAGUGUCACCACAUACACACCAAACACACUUAAAUAGCAAAUAAACCUUGAUGCCUCUCCCCUAUGACCUGUAGUAUGAGGGUUCCCUGCAGUUCUUGGAAUGACGUGCUAAACUUCACAGUUGUUUUCCUACUGGGUCGCUUGCAGAGGUUGUGUUCUCUAACUUGGGACCCUCCAUCCACACCCCCAUAGACAGGAGCUCCAGGGUCCUGCACAGAGGCCCAUUCAAAGAUUCAAAAGUUAGGAUUUACGGGCCUGACGGAGCACAGACUGGCCUUUUGUGAGAGACCCAGACAACACCCGAGCAGAGGACAUAAAUUUGAUUUUAUGAAGGGAGCUCACUCAGCCCUAAAAAACUAAAUCUCCAUUCAAGGCAGAACAUAAUUAUAUACCUCUGAGAUUUAUUUGCUGCCUCACUGUUUAAGACACUCACAUCAUCUCUCUUAAAGUCAUUAUGUACAUCAACAUCAAGAUGGUAUGAUCUAGCAAUGAUAAAAAAAAUUGAACAGUCAUCAAUAGAGUACAAAUGGCAAAUGAGUUUUGAAAGUCAUAUCUUAUUGCAGAUCUGCAGUGAUAUUACAAAGUAAUAUUCAGAUAUUGUGUAUGUAAUGUAAUUUACAUACACACCAAUUAACCUCAGCAUAUUUUUGGACUGUGGGAGGAAGCCGGAGUACCCGGAGAAAACCCACGCAUGCACAGGGAGAACAUGCAAACUCCAUGCAGAAAGAUCCCGGGAAAGCCGGGACGCGAACCAGGGAUGUUCUCGCUGCAAGGUGAAAGUGCUAACCACUACACCACUGUGCAGCCCCCUGGGCCUAAACCAUGACAGCAAAAUUGCCCCCCUACAGCAUAAAAGAACCACCGGAUCCCUUUGCUGUCGAGGUUUAAAGAUGUCCUGUGGAGUUCCUGAUCACGAGCAGAGCUGUGGAGCAAUGAAAUCAGUCGUCAAUCCAUUUUCUGCUGAAGCAGGCAGGUGGUGUAAUGCACGGCCUUUAUGUUAGUUACAUGCUGAUGAACACUGAUGCACCAACAAAUGCAAUGGAGACAGUCUUAAAUGCAAAAUUUAAUAAUGUUCAAAUAAAAUCUCAAAGAUCCACACAUUAUGUUUUGACGAGAAACAAGCUUACAGGGCAGCUUUAACUGCUGCACACAUCAUUCGCCUCCUGCGCUAAAUUGAAGUACUAUCUGCUUCACGGUUCUCCAUCACGCUUCUAUAAUUUGCAUAUUGGAACAAAAAUGGUUACAAUGUGGUUGAGAUGACAUAACGUCAUGCUCAGUGAUAUGUUCACAUCUUGAUCCUCAUUUACCAGACAGAAACUUUCCUCUUUCAGUAGAUGAAUCCCACAGUUGACACUGUGGAGCUCAAACAUCCAACUGAAAAAGCAAUAUGGAAAAUACAUUUUUAAAAGGAUGGUCCCUUUAAAUUUAAAAAGUAAUGCUGCAGAAUAGGGACCAGAGGAUAUUAGAUACACCACAGUGCAAAGAGACAGUGCAGGUUUCCUUUUCAUUUCAACCCUUUCUCUCCUCGACACUCCACGGUGAGAGCUGUUAUUAGACCGGGCCCAUAUCUCUAACUGAACAAUGACUUCAUGUCUCUGCAGUUAAUUAUCUGUCUGAUCCAUACCAUAGAGAAGAAUGAAUGAACUCCAACGCUGUGUUCCAUACAUAGGCUGCUCUAAUGUUCUUUCCAUAUAGGCAGGCACAGGCAGAGUCACAAGACAGCGCUAUUAGACCAAUGUAAUGAGUUUACGUAUGAGUAAUGGCUGCGCACUUACUUGCACAGAGAGCUCUCUUCACAUUGUUUCGGAAUCAGUUUCUCCAGAAUCUCCUGGCAAAUGUUGCGGCUAAUUUUGGAGGUUAGCUAGUGAUAUUGAGCAAAAAACGUGGAGAUUGGUGUGUGUGAAUCAUGCAUAGGUACAGUUUCAUGUACGCCACUACUUUACGGUAUAUAAAUUUGAUUAAUAAAAAGAGGCUCUCAGUUUCAGUGAGAUCUCCAGUGCCUGAUCUAAUACUUGUACACUAUAUUGACCUGAAAUGCUGUAAUGGCCCCAGCUGUGAUGCAGUGUAUGUGCUAGUCCUGCAUCAGUGCUUUUAAACACCUCAGCCAUCAUUCUGCAGCGCUGGUGUUUAUUUAAAUGGAUCUGGCCUGCUUAGGCUGUAAAGAGAGAGGACAUAAAACACUGAGGGCUAGUGAAUUACCAGCAAUAAAGCUGCGAGCUGUGCCUGUUGACGGCGCUAAGCCUAGGUGGGCCAAACUAGGCCAUGCAGGACUACCAAAUCCCCAAGCUUGCCACUGACAACAGUCUGAAUUCUUGCUAAUUGUCUCUUCUUGUCAUCCCUGUUUACUCAAGCCUCACCACUCUCUCUGCCAUAAUGGAUUCAGGGGCCUGACAAGCCAUGUUUGAUUGAUUUCUCUCCCUGACCACUCAGUGGAAGGACUCCUGGCUGCGUGCCAGCUGUACAGUGGACCGUCGCUGGUGUGUGUGUCUGCACUCACACACACAUUGUGACGUGUGCGUGCACAGAUGGAGCCACUAUAGCAUAACCGCCACGCUAUAACUCUACAGUAGGAUACUGCGGUGUACGGCGCUCUGCCCGGAGGGUGUCAUUAACAUUUAGAAACAGCCCCGGCAUCAGUCACACUGCCUCUGCUUAGGUGUGUUUAACCUUUCUAUAUGGAGGGAUACAGCAGCCAGAACAGAGGUGAUUUAACAAAGAAAUAGAGCUGCUAGAAUUGAGAGAAGUAUUAAAAUGUAAAAUGAAGUUUAACAGAGGGCACUACACAGGGACAGCAUAUUUCCAUAUAUAUGUAUUGGGUGUGUAUGAUUAUGAAAGUCAGAGCAAAGUCAUGCAGGUUUGAUUUAUUUCCUGAAAGAGUGGAAAGAGUUGGACUCUAGCACUGAACAAAUUUUAACUUCUUUUCUGUUCUAUUGAGUCUGACUCUGUGCUGUUUCAGCCUUUGUGUGUGUCAGGCCUGAGCAGUUCUAAUGAUGGAUGUGCAGGGCUGUCAUCUGCAGAUCGCCUCAGUUAAGAUGAUAGAUCAGAGCUCGCUGAGAGGUCGAUUAAAGUUCACGGCUGUGGAUUUAAACUUGCAUUGUGCUUUCCCUCAAGUCAGAUAUUCUGCUGAUGACAAUAAUGACAUUUCCACAGGCGGGUACUGUUGUCUCACUGAGGGACGUUCAAGUGUAUGGUCAGCAGACUGGGCAGAGCUGUCUUAACUGUUGCUGUUUAACAUCUGGAAGAUAUGGAGUGGAACCCAGGCUGGCUACAGUUUAAAAGGAGGAGAUGUGACAGAGACCUCCACUCCAAAACCAAAGGAUGAAAACAGGGACACAAGUGAUGUUGUGCUUUGACAUAAAACGAAGAGCAAACACCUGGAGCUUGAACUCGUCCACAUGGCAGAGGAAGAGGAGAAAAUACAGGAGCAUUUAGGUCUGACAGGAACAGGAGGAUGAUUAAGAAGAAGAGUUGACACAAUGAGAUACUCGCCUCUGCAGUCAUUAACAGUGAAGCUAAUGGUUGCUUUAUUGCAAUUUCCAGCACUACAAAACCAGUUUUGUAUGAUGUGGCUAAAAAUAAUAAUCCCUUUUUCCUGCCAUGUGUGAACAAUCAAAAUAAAGGAUAUUUUCCCUCUUAAAUGGCGCUCUUUUUUAUUGAUUUUGCUGUGCUGACAUUUGAGAUGAGUG